GAGACUCUGUGCGCGUGCAUAUCAAUAAGCGGAGGAAAAGAAACUAACUAGGAUUCCCUUAGUAACGGCGAGUGAAGCGGGAAGAGCUCAAAUUUGAAAUCUUCAAGGUUCUACCUUGACGAAUUGUAGUUUAUAAGAAGUGUUUUCUGUUAGGAGUUGGCUAAAAGUUCUUUGGAAUAGGACAUCAUAGAGGGUGAGAAUCCCGUAUUUGUACAGUUACUUUCUAGCUGUGUGAUACACUUUCAACGAGUCGGAUUGUUUGGGAAUGCAGUCCAAGAUGGGUGGUAAAUUUCAUCUAAAGCUAAAUAUUGGCGAGAGACCGAUAGCGAACAAGUACCGUGAGGGAAAGAUGAAAAGAACUUUGAAAAGAGAGUUAAACAGUACGUGAAAUUGUCAAAAGGGAAGCGUUUGACACCAGUGUUGUUUUUCCGAGAAUCAAUUACGAAUGUUUUGUUUUUGAGGAGUUAUGACUUCAUCGGCUUGCUUCUCUCUUUACGAAACUUUCUUAAUGCACUUUUCGGUUAACAAGUCAACAUCAAUUUCUUUUGUUGUAAAAGGGUAUGAGGAAGGUGGCUUUCUUUUCGGAGAAAGUGUUUAUAGCCUUGUACCUCUGCAAUCGGAGAGAUUGAGGUCUGCAGCGUAGAUCCUUCGGGGUUAGAUACAUUUGUGCUAAGUUAUAGCUUUUCAUAGACAACUUGUUGACCUAUGUUAAGUCUUGUACUUACUCGCAUGCUGCUAUUUUACCUACGCUUAGGAUGUUGACGAUCAGCUGAGCGCG
rnacentral:rRNA from 1 species